rnacentral:rRNA from 1 species
CCUACGGGCGGCUGCAGUGGGGAAUAUUGGACAAUGGGCGAAAGCCUGAUCCAGCCAUGCCGCGUGUGUGAAGAAGGCCUUCGGGUUGUAAAGCACUUUCAGUGGGGAAGAAAGCCUUGGGGCUAAUACCCUCGAGGAAGGACAUCACCCACAGAAGAAGCACCGGCUAACUCCGUGCCAGCAGCCGCGGUAAUACGGAGGGUGCGAGCGUUAAUCGGAAUUACUGGGCGUAAAGCGCGCGUAGGCGGUCUGAUAAGCCGGUUGUGAAAGCCCCGGGCUCAACCUGGGAACGGCAUCCGGAACUGUGAGACUAGAGUGCAGGAGAGGAAGGUAGAAUUCCCGGUGUAGCGGUGAAAUGCGUAGAGAUCGGGAGGAAUACCAGUGGCGAAGGCGGCCUUCUGGACUGACACUGACGCUGAGGUGCGAAAGCGUGGGUAGCAAACAGGAUUAGAUACCCGGGUAGUC